CCGCUCACAUCCGGGCAACGCCGCGCCCCUUAUAAAGCGCCGCGCUCGCGCGCUGUGACGAGGGGGGCGGCGCGCGCCGGGCGACCCGCGGACCCACCGGCGGACGGACGGAGCGAGCGAGCGAGCGACCCCGCGGGCGCGCAAGAUGGAGGGGCCGCGCUGCCCCGCGCAGGCGUGCUCCAAGCCCCCCCCCUCUACCCCCCCGCGCUUUGUGCGCGCCGCCGGGCCGCAUCGCCGAGGGCCCCCGGUGCCGGGCUGCCCGGGGGGGGGGGGGGUCUGUGCUUCCCCUUUUUGCCUUUUUUUAAUUUAUUUCAAGCGCCACCCGAGCACGUAAUCCGGGCGACGUGCAAAAAGCAGCUCUGGAAAAUUGAACCGCACGUGUGAACGCGGGGGAAGGGCCGGGAGGGCGAGGGGGUGCAGGACGCGGCGAGAGCCCCCCCCCUCCCCGGGAAGGAGGCCCUGCGGGUGGGGGGCACCAGUCCAGGGUGGCAGCAGGGGGGACGGAGGCCCCGCUCUGGAGCGGGCGGGCGGUGGGGGAAGCAGACCCGGAGCGGGAGGCUGGUUGGGGCAGCAGGGCCCCGCCGCCUCCCCUCCUCGGGCUCCGCAGGGCGGGCGAGGGUCCUGCCCCUGGGCCGGGAGGUAGAGCCCAAACCCCUAACGGCGGUGACGGGAGAGCAGAGGUACCAAAACUUGAAUUUUUUGCAGCCAGGGAAUGGCACGCCUGGGAGCGAAGGUACCGGGGCGCGCGGAGGUGCCUACCUGGCGCUGGGCGCGACCGCCUGCGGUCCGCCACGCUGCCCCUCGUCCCUGCUCCCGCGGUCGAGGCCCCUCAGGAGCUCGGCCGAGCCGUGGAGACGUGCCGGGUGGCGGCUGGAUGCGCUGCGGGCGGCUCCAGGACGGCUCGGAAAGGGCUGGAGGGAGGCCGGGCCCUGGGCGGCCGUGCAGAGCCCCUCCGGCCUUCGCGGCCUCGGAGCUUCGGCAGAGCUCCAGCGAAAGCCCUCCGGAAAAAGGAGGUUGGCGCAGGCAUCUCCCCAAAACGAGGUGACAUCCACUGCUGCAAGGGCUCCGUCUUCUCGCUGGGUCGUGACGUUUUGGAAGAAUUUGGAAGAAGGAAUUUCUUCACAGGCCCUGCCGCACAGAGCGAAGGUCUGUUGCCCCACCAGCUGAUGGAGUAAUGAAGCUUCCCCUGAAUGGCGAUGGAAAGGCUUCAGGAGAAAGAAAUGAAAGAUUAGAUGAAUCUUCACGGAUCAUGAGCUCCAAACGGAAAUCCUCAGUGGCUCUCAACCCGAAUGUCCAAUGUGACGAAGUGCAAGAGAGAAACUCCCUCGGGCUAUGAGAAACCGUAAAAGCCAUCAAAGCCAUCUCAGCAAACAGCCGAAACAUCAGAAAUGCAAAGGGUCAGUGAAGGAAUAGGAGGAUAAGGAGAAAAGCAGACUGUCUCAAGGAAAGAUGUGCUUCUUGCAUGAAUAACUUCCUAACAAUCUGCUGAAGGAGUGAUUUUGUAUCAGCCUGAAACCCCAAACCAGCAUCAUUUUAAUUUGCCAAGCACCUGUGAAAGAAUGCAGCUGCAAGACCAUGGGAAAACAAUGGGAACUCUGACAGUUCAUUAAUAUAAACCAGCAACUAGAUUUAUUUGGAAAAGUCAUUGAUACAGAAUUACACUGGAGGACACAGUGGCAUUCCUGAAGUACGCCAGCAAGCAGCUAACUAAGAUUAUAGAUGUGUGUACAUCAUUUGAACUUCAAUGGUUAUUUGUUUGUUCUGGUUUUUUUUCUGGUGAAGCAAGAGUUUGGAAGAUGCGAGCCCUAUUUAAAAUCGUGAUAUGCACAGAUGGGAACCCAAGAACAUCUUCAUGCAAAAAACUGUUCUCGGAUGCAUUUUGAUCUAAGUGGAUACGUCCCUGUCCUAGGCGCAACAUCUUGAUUUUGGUCCACGAGGUGCUCGGAGGGCGCAGCCACGGCAGAUGCCAUCACCGACCUGCGGCCGUGGGGACACGAGAUGAGGUGGAACAUGGAGAUCUGGAUUGCUUCAGAAGAGCCAAGAUUUUCUGUUUCCUGGGUAAAAGCUCUAGUGGUCUCAAGAACUGCUCUAGCAGAGGAGACCAGGCUGCCGAGUUGGCUCUCACGCAGAAGACAUGAUGCUAGCAGCGUUUGUGAGGUUUCUUCAGAUCCACAUCCUCAGAAGACAACGCGGACAUCUUGUGCUGCUCCAGGAGAAUUUUCUGGACAGUUCUGAAGACACAUAUGAAAUUAUAGUUCAGCCUGUGUGCACUGGGGCUGCUCUGUGGUGGGGAGAAGCAGGACCUAUGGCUCCAGAGAUGGCCAGGCUGGUUGGACCAGGGUAGGGGCUGGUGCCCAGGGAGGCUGCUCAAGCCAGCUAAGACCCAUCAGUGCCCGCCCUCAGCUGCUGUCAUGUCUGUUCUCCAGUACUACUUACUUUCAUCCUUAAUGCACAAAAAAUACGUGUUAUGUGUUCAGUUCUUUGUGAAUGACAUCAUAACCUGCCUAAAUCUCAAGGUUUUCACCAAGAUCCAACUUCCCAAAGUCCUUAGGGAUUUAAGAUCUUGGUUUAGGCCACUACUAAGUAGGACAGCCUGCUGAAAUCCAGACUUCAGUGUCACGUCCCUGUAAAGCAGGAACAAAGCAGUAGGGAGUGAGGAUACCAGAUCUGAAAUGCUGACUUAGACUAAUAUCUCUUUUCUUCCUUUGCGCCAUUUAUGUGAUUAUUUUUGUGAUUCAUGUGUUCGAAAAUCCCUGGGAAAAAAUAAUCUUUUUUUCAUUUUUGCUUUGCAAGUCACUUUGUAAAGAACCACUUUGGUGUCUUUAGAGGGCUUUAAGCCCACCUGUUUCCUCUGUAAAGCACAGAUGAGGAAACACGAGCGAAAGGCUAGCCCGGCAUCGACCGUAGAAUUCAGGAACCUUAAGUGAAACUAAAUAUAUUGGUCCCACAUCUGGGAAGAGUUUUUUAAGAAGGAUUUUCGCUAUCAAAGUAGAAGAUUUAUUUCACUUAUAAAAGGACAGACGGACCCUGAAGAAAGUAACAUUCCUCUUGUUCUGGCGGCAGCGGAAACCCUGCGACUACCCGUGCUGGGGAAGUCGGCGUUUCUGAACUCUGCCUCCGUGCACAUUAAAAUCAAGAUGUCAGCAGUACUUGAGGGAAGGAGUUACUCAAAGAACAAGGGACCAAACCCGAGAGGCGAAUCCAGUGACGGGACUCUUGCAUUGCUGCCUGCUCCUUCCUAUCUCGAUGUGCUUAUGUGGACACUUGAAUGCCUCUAAGGUCACUUGGAUAAUCUAAUACCGCUCAGGAUGAUAUCUGGCUCAGGCAGGAACUCUUACAAGGCUUUAAAGAACAUUUGUCUUCAUUAUUUCACACCCUCAUGUCUGUAUGAUUGAUCUGCGCUGAGUUUUGUUUAAUUGCUCGGAAGGUCUUGAGGAGUGACAUUUGGAGCCAGCCGAACGGAGUGUCUGAGCUCCCUCUGCUGCUCCGCCGCACGCAGCGAUCGCCACGGCCGGCGUCCCCGGCCACGGGCCGCGCUCCGCGGGGCGCACGCCGAGCCCGCCGCCGGCCCUCCUGCUGCGAAGAGCGAAGACCGAGAAGGAAUAGCGCGUUUGCCAGGUGCAGAAGAGCCAGGACAGGUCUGGCACGUGCUGCCAGCUUUCUGAUAGGGUGUCACAAAGGCUGGAGAGCAGCAGCUCCCAUGCUGGAGAGAUGCCGAAGCUUCGCUUUUAUGGGUGCAACCUUCUAGUUUGACUGCCUACACAAGGCUCUUUGGAGACCCAGUUAGUCCGCAGCCAAAGGAGUUGAUUUUCCAGUGAGAACACCACUCAUGCUGGUGGGUCCGACCCCAGCCAGAGGACCCAGUGCCUGGGCGGGUACCUAGAGCAAGAUGAGGACUGGCUGGCUCUGUCCUCCAGGAUUGCAUAAGGCCAAGGGCUCAUGCAGAUGAGCUGCAGAAAGCAGGGAAGGGAAGUAGGCCGUAUGAGCUCUCAGGUUGUUGUGCUGUGUAGGUUGAUGGUCUGGUGCCUUGCACUUGAGUCCUGCCACUGCAGGUGGGCUUGGAGAGCUCGCUUGUUAUCCCUUGCAGAGAGCUAUUUCAUCUGCGUUAGUGGCUGCUCUUCUCCCUCCUGGAACAGUUUAAGGUGCCGGUGCUAUAAAUCCUGGGUUGUUUGGAGAUUUGUAUCUAUUAUACUUCAGUCUGGCUACUAAAGAUACAGUUCUAGUAACAGAAAAAAUGUGUGCUUAAGCUGAAUUUAGGUGCUUAAAAGCAAGAUAGCAAGCUGCAGAACUUCAUCUUUUCUGCGUAAACCCUGGAGAGGUUGUAGGCCCCUGGCUCAUGACACAAAGCUUGAAUAAGUCCCUGGGGCUCCUCUGUCAUGUGCGUCCUGCAGCAGCGGUGCUGGGGCUCGCCUGAGCAUCCAAGGUCAUCCAAGGUCACUUGUGCUUUUCUGGUGCAGGCGGCAUCUUGCCGACGUUCCUGGCAGGGUUUGACCAGAGGGGCUGGUCUGACCUGCUGGAGGCACCCAAAACCCGAGGGCAGCACUCAGCACAUCACCACAGCCCUUGCCGUAAGGACCACGGUGAUGGCAACCCAUUCCCUGCAGUGGUGGCUGGCCCGGGAGGUCAGCCAAGGAGCUGCUUGGGUUCCUCCUUGCUCAGGCAGGGCUUUCUCCCGCUCCUUCCACCUCCCAGCUGAACAGCGUGCCGGCUGUCCCAGACCUCCGCGGCCCUGCACGGACCUGCACAGCUCGGCUUUCACCGCUGGCCUCCAUGGUUUCUGCCUUUUAUUUAAUGAUAAGCAACCACACGGUCCUGGAGUUGCCUUGUGCAUCGGGGCCUAGGUGUUUAUCAGUGGAGUUGCUUAAGCUUGGAUCUCCCUCGUUCAAAGGGGAAUGAAAUGAUACUAAACCUCCAUAGCUGAAUCUCAGCUUUCAAACUCUUCAUCUUCCGUGCAAACCCUUGUUGUUCUUUUUUUAAUGCUGUGCAUGCUUGAGAAUGGUAGUUGUUGUUGUUGUUUUGAACUAGUACUGUAUUUUCCUGAACAGAUGUGGUAAUCUGGCAAGUAUUUCAUGGAUUUUAUUUUUGCUCUGUUUCAUAGUUUGACUUUAGUUAAAACAUCUGGAUGUUUUAAUUGUGGCUGGGUGCUGCUUGUAAAAAAGGAAGUACUGGUAAGAAAAAUACUAAAAUAAUUUAAAUCAUUUUAAAAUUUAAAUAAGUUAUAGGAGGUUUAAUUUGAAAUGGGAGUCCUAGUGCCAUAUAUUAUUCAAAGACCUAAUACUAGAUGUGGCCUUGAGAAAUUCCUACAUGCUGGAUAUGACAGGUAGAUUAUUUUUCUUUUUAUUGUUUACUUAGGCCAUGGUGCAAGGAAAGGUAUAUAUGCACUUGACUUACCUCAAGCCAUGUAAGGUUUCAUUAAUUUUUAGGGAACAGCCCUGAUGUUUAGAGCAAGCAUAUCCUUGAAAAGCUGAGAGAAAUGAGAGGUCUUCGUGCUGAACAGUGUCUACAGCAUAGUCUGCAUCAUUAGAGAUCCGCUGGUCCUGUGCUCCAUAUGCCCCAGCACCUACAUACAUUUCCCUGCAGAAAUCCCAGCGUUAGCUGUGUCUGAGGUCUACAAGGGCUUCCUGAAAUUGUUGGUCCACGUGAUUGUGAACCUCGCCUAUUCUCUUACAUCUGAAUUCACAUCUGUUUGAAAGAAAACCUGUUGUGAUCAGGUUACCUUUCCAGGUUGGCUCUGGACUUCAGUUUUCCCAUAACCCGAAGAGGUUGAUGUUGUGCUGCUGAGCAAGGUCCCUGGUGCUCCUCAUCCUACAGAGAGCUCAAAGAUAGGCAGCUAUUGCCAACCACGAGUCAUGCCGGGGACACUGGGUCCUGCUCUGUUUCUGUGCUUGCUGGUGUCGAACAGUCCAGUCCAGCCCAGAUCAAUAGCAAGACUCCAGCUCUCAGAGUGCCCCUACGUUGGCAUUUUAGCUCAUAUAAUAGUGUGCUUUUGAAGUGAAUCAUCCAGUUGUGCUGGACAUUUAGGCAUUGUGAUUCAGUCUGCUGAGUGACCUUGGAGCAUGAAAACUAGAUUCUUGCAUAUUUAAAUAAAAGAUGAUCUUCUGAAGCACGGCUAGGGCACUCCAGUCACUGCAACGGGCAUUUAGUCCAUAGCACCGUACUAGAGGGAAUCCAAAUAAACCAGCAAUGUGUACAGUGUGGAUGCUGGAUCCUCAGCACCAACUAUUUUGCUCUGUGGAUGGAUUCUGUUCUGCCACAAAACAUCCUGUUAUUGCACACCACAUAGGUAUAGCCUCUGAAUACUAACACAGAGCCAUGGCAGUCUUAAUUUGCCACAGAUGUCUGCAACUCAUCUUCAGGUCCCAGACUGAAAGGACCAACGUGGCGUGUCACAGCUGCAUAGCCCCAUGGAGAUGUGAAGUAGGAUCUUCACCUACAGCAACCAAAAAAUCCUUGGGGCCACCAAGCUCCACUGUUUCCUUGCUUGGUUGGUGUCAGUGGGCAAAGCUGACCCAGUUCUGGCCUCGUCUCCGUUGGUUUACAGCUGUUCUUCACGGACGAGGCAGCACAGCAAUCUGCACUGCAGCUGCGCACGAGAGCGUGGCGAGUGUCACUGGAGACUGUCCCCAGCUGAGACCUGGGGGCGGGUAACCAUCAGGAACGCUGCCGGUGAAGUAGAUGCCGUUUAGCAUAGCAAAUUAAGCUGAGGUCAUUAGGUUCACAAGAUAGAGUUAAUCAAUAUCUUUAUUUGCUGAAAGUGAGCAGAGUUAUUGAUAAACGAAAUUCUUUUUCUUACAUAAAAAGUGAAAGGAAGCAUGCCAGCCGUGCCGGCAGAGGUACACCACAAAGCGGAAGCAGAACUUUGGCAGGGAUUUCCUUGCGUCUCUUUUACAACUCCUCUUCUCGUGAAGCACAUUUCGGUGGCAGGUAUUCUUCACACAGCUAUAGAAAGAAAAAACACCUCCUUUCAUUGGGAUUCUAAUCAAGGAUGUUUCUGGAUUAAAUCCAGCAGAUCAGGGCAGUUCCUCAGGGUCCGAGAUACCAUGAAACAUCCGUGAAACAACAACUCCUCCAUCAUUUUGAAACAACAACUCAAGAGUUGCUCAGUUUGUGCAGUUCUCAACCUAUAUUUUACUGGAGAGGAAGUCUAAUAAGUCUUGCGCUUCUAACAGUGAUGCAUGUGGCCUUCUGCAGCAUUAGCCCUAGUUUUCCUAGGUGUAAGUAGGGCAGCAGAGAGGGGCCUGGCCUGGCUCUAUUAACAGGCCCAGGGGACAUAGAAAUGUUUGGAAAGCAUUGUGCUACAGCGAGAAGGAGAAGGAGAAAGGCGCCUGGGAGGAGGACGAGAGCUUGCAACGGCAGGCAAAAAUGAUUUUUUUCCUUUUGCUUCGGGGUCUGGAACAUCACUCUGUUGCCCUGGAUGGAGGUGAGGGGAGAGGGACGCCUAAGGUGAAAAUCAGUACGUAUCCGUGCCAGUGGAUGAAUAGACAGAUAGACAGAAUGACACAGGGUAAAGCCGUAUUGCAAGACGAAUAUGCUACAGGCUCUCGACAUUAACUAGUCAUUAUUUACACACUCAGAUAUCUAUGAUCCGGUGCAUGGACACAAAAGCUGUGGAAAAUAUCUCCAUUUUCAAACCGAGUUUUAAUUAUUUGUAAAGACUUCAAUUGUUCAAUAGAUAAUGUCAUGGAUUGGUCCUCACAGUGUGAAGUGCAACCGUCCAGAACCCCCACAGUAUUAUAAAUAGGCUUCGAAGCUGGGAUUGAUUGAUGUUUGGCAUAAAAUCUAUUCCUCUGAGCAUGUAUAUUCCUUCUGUUCACCAGUUUCAUACAAAUAUACUUGGGCUGAUUUUUUAUUCAAAUCUCCAAUUUAUGUAGGGUUUAAACUGUUAAAUAUUUAAAGCCUUUUUCAUCUUUUUUUUUUCCUCUUUUCUGUUAGAGGUAACUAAAUCUUUUCCCUAACACAAACAAGACUCGGAGAUUUAGCACAUUCCUGUGGGGGAGAGAAAGGGUUUAUUAAUUAUAUUGAGACUCAAAUAAUAUGCUUCCUUGACACUAAUGUUCCAUCAGUUCCAACCGCAAGUAUCCUGUGGGAUAACUUUAAAGCCUUUAUCAGGAUCUAGAUUACUGCAUUUAUGGCUCCACAGAAGAAAGAAUUUAAUGAACAGCGUUCUGAGUUUGAAAAGAGAAUCUGAGAUAGAGCGAUAUCAAGGUAUAAAAACUAUAACAAUGAGAAGUUAUUUCAGUGGAAUCUCUGGGACUCCAUAAUGAAACAUCAAAUAAAGAUUGUCUCUGCCUCAGGACCUGAUUUCCAGUGAAAUACUCUAUCUCAGUGCAGUGCAUUUGGAAGCAGCCAAUACUUGGAAAUAUUUGGUGAAAACAUGCACAAUGAACAUUAUCAUAUGAGUUUGUUGUACGUAGUGUCAGUAUGUCCUACAGAGUCAGGACACACUGCAAAAUAACUUAUUUAGAGGCUGGUGUUCAGGAUGGGUUUUGUGAGACUGUGGUACCCAUCAGACACGAAAUAUCACUCACUGAGUAACGAGACUCUUCCUUUUUAUCCUUGGAUUAAAAUAGUUUAAAAGUGUCUAUCAAACUCAAUCCUCAGUGGAGCUGGAAAACUUCAGCUCUUUGGCUUCAGCGGGGACCCGUCUGAUCCUGCAUGAGACCAGCAUCUAGCAAAGGCUCUCUUCCAGGAAACCUCUUGAGCAUAAGCAUUGUUUUAAGACUGUGUCAAAUUCUGUGGGGCUACUUACGACGGGACAUUAAACAUGAAGUUAACUGUGACUUAGGCUUCUGCUGGAUUCUGGCCAGGAUGAGAAAUUUUGCUUUCUGUAUGUGUUUAGCUGUUGCCAGAGCUCAUCCUUGAUUUGACCUCCAAUUGUGAGACACUUAUGGAUGAGUUCUCCGGAGCAAGCCGAUGCUCCAGAAGCCCUUUCCUGAGGAAAGUGUGUGGUGACACGCAGCGGGCCGUGUGACUCGUUAUUUCUAGCACUGGCCUUAGGGGCCAAAUUCGAUGAGGCUCUGAGCACACUUCACACAGUCAGACAAAACACAGUAUUUUCCCCCUAGACCAGAAUAAACAACUCUGAAAUGAAUUUUAAUAUUGAAGAGGAAUAAAAUGGCAUUCAGAAAAGUCAGGCUUUGAGAAGAUGCAUCUUUACACCUUACUUUCAUUAGUAGUGUGAUCAGCCUAAGCGACCAGAUUUGUACUCUCAUAAACUGAUUUUGCAGUAAUGCAACCUUUGUCAUUUAAUUACACUUAAUUUAUAUCAGCAGAAGUGGAAAGAAGAACAGAUCCUAAGGUGCUAGUAUGCCUCCUCUUUGUAAUGCGACUCGCUGCCUCGACCAGAUCAUUGCCUAUGGGAGAAGACCGCUCGGAAGAUAGCUGGGGUAUGGCAUAACGCUGAACGCCGUCCGUGCACAUCCUCCUCGGUGCCUGCUUCCCAGGCGCCGGCAUCAUCCCAGCAGCUGCAAAGCCUGCGGGUUUAGCUCCUGGGGUAACUCAUCCAACCUGCCAGCACUAGGCACGCUGGUGCUCUCCUGAGUGCUGGUGACCAUGGUGCAGAGACCUGCACUUCAACUCCUGAGGACUUGAGAAGUUUUGGACAAGUUUCUGCUGUCCAGCGGAGAGCUGUGACCCAAGCUGCUCCCCUUCCCCUGCUACUGCCUGGUCUCCGAGCUGCCCAGCGGGAGUUUGUCGUGGAAAUGCCUCUGCGAACCUGUGCUCUUGAGCUGCGGGGCCUCGCGCUUGCAGCUCUAAUCGUCCUUCUUUUACUUCUUGCUAACAGCCAACGUUGCAACUGAUAUCAAAAACCCGUCGUGCCAUUUCACCCACCGCAGACGGCUGCAGCUCAGGUCUGUGCUGUGUGCUGGGGCCUUUGGGGGCCCGAAAGCAGAGCUAAUGGAAAGUCAGGUUUUCUUUAGAAACACUCCUUGCAGCCAGAGAAAAGCACCAAAUCCCCUGUCCCUCGCUGUACCCGGCCAUCGCGGACAGCGUCAGCAGCACAGGACGACGUGGCCACAGCAUCCAGGGCAAAGUGCUGGGGACACUGCAGAGCUCAAAGCAGUAGAGAAGCAGGACUGAUGAAAAACGUGCAAAGCAUGCAAAUAAUAAUAUCAGAAAUUUUAAAACAAACAGUAUUAGGGUUUACAAGCAAUCAAGCCUUUAAAAUUGCAUUGCUUAAAGCCCAUUAAACAAAGCAAAACUCCUCUCCAAAUCAGUAAAUAGAAGUUGUUUACAGCAAACAGAAUAUCACUGAAAAUUCUCAUUUCUGAACUUUUCACAGAUAAAAAAACCCCCAGCUUAUCAGUUAUUCAAACAUCAGCAUUAUUCCAAAUUGAUUCAGGGAUGGCUGCUAGACACAUUUAUAACAUAAGAGAAACAAAAUAGAGUCGGACCUGAAGAAAUGGUGGAGGAAUGUUGGAGAGGGACCCAGGUUGCUGGUUUUAAAAUUUUUGCCUAAAAUCAGGCUUCGGGGUUCCUAUUUUGGCAUUCAGAUAAUAAGCCUGAAUUUAAGAAGUGCUGAGUAUUCAAAGGAACUGAAAAAUGCUCCUCUUGGGUGGAAACUAGACCAUCGUCAGGUGUCUAGCUUCAUACGGCUUGCUUACCAUCAAUAAAUUGCUGCAUCAUUUAGUGCCGAAAACACAUAUAUAAUUUUAGUCUUAGGGAGAUAGAUUGCUCGUGCACAGUAUUUCUCUGAGUGUGAAACCUUUGCAAGGUCAGCUUACCAUUCAGUAACCAAAAGCAGAGUAAAAUAGAUGUUCCAAUACUCAGUGGAAGCUUAAACUAGGAAUUAAUUUAUAUAUUGUAGCAUUUGACAAACCUCAGCUCCUGAUGUCUCAUGCUCAGCCUUACUUUAUAGUCACAUCUGUUAGUUUAAAGCAUUUUUAGUUUAUUGAAGAAGCCUUUACAAAGAAAAAACAGAUGAUGAAAAUCUCAUCUGUCAAAACUGUUAUUAAAACCGGUAACAGUGUGAGGUUUUGUUUAAAUUGAAAGCAUCAUUUAUUUUUUAUCAAACAUUUUAUAAACAAUAACAUUUGAGAAGGAUUUGGGGGACCUGGAGAGCCCUCAACAAAAUGCAGCUCAUUAUGUUGCUUUGUUUAAUGUGCUGCUCAGAGAUAAGCAGUGGAUGCUUUCCAUUACCUCGAUGGGAGGUAUACUAGCUGGUGUGACUAGAGAGGUGGAAAAAUCACCUGUGCACAAACGCACAUUUAUCAGUCACAAAGAGAGUGGGGAAUAGCAAACGGCUGGGAAGUGUUCGCAUGAGCUAAAAGGGAAAAUGGGCAGAGGCACAUUUUCCGACCUCGGGUCUUAAAGCUUUUUUUGGCCCCGUUGAGAGCCAAUUUUGCAGAUUAAUUACCACAAUGGGAGACGAUAAUUGAAGGAGAGAUCUGACAUCCCUCUCCAGGUUGGGGGCCUGUGGCUGUGGCCAGGGAAAGGAAGGGGGAAUACAACCAAAGUUUCGGUGUGCGACUGUGCGUCAGGUUUAUCUGGUGCCGUGGGAGUGUGGAGGUCCUCGUCCCGUCCUCUCCCCUUUCGCAGAGGUCCUUGCCCUGUCCUUUACCCUUUCGUGAAGGUCUUCGCCCCAUCCUCUCCCCUGUCACAGAGGUCCUCGCCACAUCUUCCUUUUCACAGAGGUCCUCACCCCAUCCUCUCCCCUUUCGUGGAGGUCCUCGCCCUGUCCUCUGCCCUUUCAUGGAGCUCCUCGCCCCAUCCUCCUCCCUUUUGUGGGGGUGAAAGGUGCAGAAGGUGCAUAGAAAAAAUUGACCAUAAGAUGGGCAUAAAGCCAAUGGGUGGAUCUUCCAGCCCAUCCGUCUUAGGCAAGAACAAGCUGGGCAAAGAGAAUGGUCCUCUGUGCCUUGCCCGGAGCUGCCUAGAGCCACUCGCCGGGAGCCAUUAAAAUUAGUCUUUUUUUCAUUUUUGGAAUUUCCACCUCCAUGAGCAUCAGAGUAUGAAAAUGUAUGCGAGGCUUCUAGACUAAGUCAAUUUUUAAAUAUAAAAGCAGGCUAAGGUACCUUUCCAAAAAUGCAAUGCCAGACGCUUCUGAAGGCUUCAUAUCUUCAUCUACAGAAACUCUGGAAAAAGAAUUAUAUUCUGGCAAUUCUUUUUCUUAAACUCUCAAUUGAAAUAUGAGCAUUUCACACUUCUGUAAAACAGAAGUGCCUUUACCAUCCCAAUCUGGGACAAGCUGUUAGAAGUUCAUAGGGUAGGGGAUGCUUUUUAGGAGGAAGAUAUCACACAAACAUCACAAAUACUCUCUUUCCUGCAGGAUUACUAAAUGGGGUUUAAAUGAAUCAAAACAAGGUUCAUAGAACAACUUUUACAUUGCAGAAAACUAAGCAAAAGAACAUUUACAAACAAAGCAAUUGACUUUGUUGAUGAUUUUAAUCCCUUGGCCGCUGUUCCAAACAUUUAUGGUUGAAUUAAGCUAAUGAUGGGAAGAUCCCAAAGGACUCAGGCUGGCAAGUGGGAAUGGUGUUUUCCAAAACAUUCAGCAUUAACCUAACUCUGCUCCAUUGAAGGAAAGCUCGCAUUGGCUUCAGCGGGAGCUGAGCCACGAGGCGGCCGAGCACCGCUGCCGGAGCGGGAGAGGUUCCCUCCGGCGGGCCGGGCCCCCUCCCGCGGCGUGCACGGCUCCGUGCUCCGAGAGCCGCCGGCAGCCCCCCGUCUUCUUGCAUACAUUCUGCAAACAGGGAUGUUUGGGAUCCAGCUGUUCCUGUGUGGUUUCCUUGUAUUGUUGUGUUAUAUAAAGAACGAAAGAACAAAACCUGCCCUAAAAGUUUAGAUAUUUAUUGCAAGCUAUCUGUUCUUUCUCAAGCCAGCCGUAUUUUGAGAUCAGCCCGCCCCUCCCUCUGUGGGACAUGGACUUUUCGUAUUUUAUCUCCAUUUAUGGUUAUUGCAUUGUAAACAUGCAGCAAGCAGAAGUUAUCAUUUGCAUAUCUCUGAGAAUUAGCCAGAAAGAUUCUCUCUCCAUAAAUGAUUUAUAUUACAGCCAUAACAAUUGAGAGUCUGCUCUAGUCUGAAAUACCCUUUUAAAAUAUAUGCCCUGAUCUUUGACCUGGAAGGCAGAGCUGAUUAAGAUAUGCACAGAAAACAUUCAGUUAUGAAGUAGAGAUUAGCUGGGGAUCAAGUAGUGAUAAAGAAAGAGCAGUAGAAAGAUAAAUACUGGAGAGGAACUCUAUCCAUUAACUAGACAUGGGCUUACAUUAGAAUAUUUUAUCUAAUCCUACUCCAAACUUUGGAAUUUAUAUUCAAAAUACUUCUGGUUUUAGGUAUAACUUUACAAAAACCAAAAUCUGAUUCAUGGGGUUUUGCAAGAGCUGAGGUACCUAGUUUGCCUCUUAGUGCGAUUGGAAAUUUGAUUUUCCAAAAUCAAAUCAUGGUCUUGUGACUCCCUUUGGUCCUGCCUGCUCCUAUACUUUUGAGCUCUUUCGAUAGCACUUUAAAUCUGCCAGGGCAUGUAGGAUUUUGAAUAGCUGACUUUUCCCCAACCUAUGUGCAUACAUAUAUAAACAUAUAUAUUUCACACACACACAAUUAGCUAAAACAAUGAAUGCUAGAGAUAUCCCAGGUGACACACGGAAAGCGUUGUUUUCUUCUAUCAAGGACUCUGCCUUAUUCAUGUGCAUUGUUCAGAGCUCAGAGCUGUACAGUGAAGGAAAUUGUUGCCUUGGGACAUUGUCUUCUUUGUUGCAAAAGCUGGAAAAUACUGACAGAGGAAGAGAAUAGGAAGCUGGUAACUCACUUAAACCAACAUUUUUGAAGUUGGCCAUUAAUUUUGCUCUCUUUCUUCAUUCCUCUCUAUUUUUCUGAGAAAGCGUGUUUGAUGUGAUGCUAAUUCAUAUGAGAGGCCUCUUCUGAAGUACUGAGUGUCCACAUGUGUGACUCAAGUGGCUUGGGAUGCAUAAAAUGCUCCAGAAAACAAACUUGGCCUUAUCCUGCCACUGGGGCAUCCACACACUUGCGAUGGCUCUGGAACAGGGCAGUUUGAUCCAGAUCGUGUGUUGAGGGUCGUUUGCAGCCCUGGCCAUGUGUUGCAGAAGAUGGCAGGUGUGACACGUACCCCUAGAUGGGGUUCAAACUCCCUCCGUUAUACUAAGGCUUGCCAAGGGUAGUACUUUUCGACAGAAAGUGCUUCUUCCACAAAGUUUCUGCCUUAUUAACUUGUGAAUUAGCUCAGCAGCUAAGUAGAGGUAUCUUAUUUGGUUAUUUUGGAAGACACUCAAACACCAUUUGGGAUGUGAGGCAGUUCAGGAAUGAUCCUGUAUUCUGGUUGAAGGAACUGCUCUGUUUUGGUGUUUACCAGUUAUCUUAACAUCAUCCUUAUCACAAGCUAGAUAAGGCAAAGCUAACUAAAAUGAUGCAUUUUCAAAAGCCAAACAAAACACUUGCAUGGGUUAUAAAAGCAUCUGUGGAGAAGCAGAAGAAAACCACAACUCCCUCCACCUAUCCCAAGACCAGCUCGCUCGCUCUGUCAUUCAGUUGGCAGUCUGUUUAGACAGUUACCUAGUUACGUGGUUAGGGACCUACUUCUUACAUCCUCAAGUUGCGCUCAGAAAAACAGUUGUGUCUGAGGUCACAUAUUUACUUGUACACCUAGCUCCUUCCCUUGCGUUCCCGGCAGCAGCUCCAUUCAGGUACGAAUCUUCUUUCCAGGCCUUCUACCUGAGACUAUCUCCUUGUUCAACGCAGUGAGAAGGGCAACUCAGGCCUCCUUGUAUUUCACUGUUGACCACAGUGGUACGAGCCAUUUCCAGAUCGGUAAUCUAUUAUAAGGUAAAGCCUUCUCUUCUGUCUGGGAGAGCCAUGCUCAAGUUCUGACCAAAACCUCUUCAAUCACAGCACCUUGUAUUUCUAUAUCUUAUACAAGUUGGCAACCGUGUGUCGUACACUCACAUAAAUGAUGCUGAUGCAGGGAGAACAUUAGUGGCUUUGAUUGAAACCAGCCGUGAUGGCAGCCACCUUGUAGUGAUAAUGGUUUGGGGUGACUGAACCUAAAACUACUCGUCAAGAGACCGUGUGGUAUGUUCUACCUAAGAAAGACGGACUCAGAAAUAGGCUGGUGUGUCCAUCAGAGGCAAAAGCACUGGGACUCUCCUGUUGGGCUAGUGGACCUUCUGCUGAGUUCACUCUGCCCGUGAUUUAAGUAUCCUUCACGUCAAAGUCCUGGAGCACUAGUGCAUUGCAGCAACUAGGGAUGUGUGCCCCGUCAUCUGGGGAAGCCACCUUAGAGAGGAAAGAUCUUUCAGGACAUGUAAUAUUUCACUGGAUUCAUACAAUGGUAUAAGCUUCCUUCUCCAGAACUGAGUGCAUUUUUUCCACACAAAGUUCAUUUUUUUCAUUUAAAAUAGCAAAGGCAUUUUUUCCUCAUUUUCUCCCACCUGCCAAACCACAGUUCCUCAUCCUGUGUUUGGAACCUCAGUAAACAAUUCAAACAUCUUGUUAAAAUUUGAGCUAACACAGAGAGAACUCUCCAACAAGGUCCUUACCAGCUCAAAACUUUUUGAAAAACUUUUAACAAAAUUACUUUUUGGAUUUACAGUUUUACUGGAGCCCAGUAAAAGGAGGAGUCUGCUAGGAUUUUCUGUAUAACUCACAGAACAAUUUGCAAAUCUUUUCAUGGCCAAACUUGUCUUAUGAGUUGUGGCAAGACCACCAUACAAGGAAGGGUCUUCGCCUUUAAAGAUUUGCAGAGCAUUCUCCUCUUCCUUUUCCUACUACUACUCACUCCUGCACUCUGAUAGUCUCUGUAAUUAAUCCCAAUUGCUCUAGUUUUACAUUUAUGCACUUUAAUGGUUAAAAUUGGUUUUUCUAGCCUUUACAACAGAAAUCCACAUGUUUCUUGGCUACUUUUCAGCUGCUGCUGAUCAUAGCCAUCCGCAGCUCGGAUGAAGUUACGCAAUCUUGCCAACACUUAAUCGACCAUGAUCUGAAAAGCUGCUGCAUUGUUCAGUUUAAAAACUGUGGCCUAAACAUGAGUCCUGCAUUAGUGAUGAAUGCAGAUUUCUCCUGAGACGGCACUUCCAGCAGAGGUUUGACAGCGUUCUUCCUUCACGGCCACUGUGCUGAGAUGUUUUGCCUGUUUUAGGUAUCUAGUAAGUAGAGACUGGACACAGUUAUGGUGCUGAGCCUUCGCUCAUCCACACAGGGCUUUAUUCCUCUGUCUUUCUUAGUUAUGGUAAUCCCUGGAGGCUGUUAGAUUUGGCUACGACUGCUAACUCCAACAUGCCUUUUCGCUCCCUGCUCAUCUGCUCUGUCAGGUUAUUCCCAGCCUGUUUUACUUGCUGCUCCUGACUGGCAGACUUCAGUUUUUAACAGGGAUGGAAACCAGCAAAAAAUCUCCCACCUCCCCAGCUUUUUUAUAAGAAUUAAUUUUGGAAGUCUUGGUUCUACACUACUUUUUGUUGCUAAAAUACACUUUAAAUGGUUAGAGGCCUUUCAAUAUAGUGAGUGAUGAUUUCCCCAAAUUUAGUGAGAUCCCAUAGAUCCCUGACCUCUUAUCUCUACAGAAGGCUGAACAGGAUAAAUCUCAUGCAUUCUCGUGGUAUCUUGUGGUUUCCUCAUGGUAAGCAAGGGCCAGCAAUAAAUCCAAAUUAUAUGCUUUCCCAGGCACACACCUUUGCAAUGCGAGCUUAAGAACACCACUGAAUGUUACACCAAACCAGACCAGUUUGCAAAGGUACAGAAUUCACAUGUAUUAUUUCUCAUGAUUUUCAAACUCAUUAAUCAACAAAACCAUGAAAUGUGCCUCUCUGUCACGCAGUGUUUCUUUUGGGACCACCCAAUUGAAUAUGGUGAAGAAUACUCUGCCACUUGCACAGUGAACAGCUUUUAGUAGCAAAGUCCGUCAGAUAGCUUCUCCUUAAAAAAAUAGCAAAGAAUUGGUGACAGGCACAAACCAACAAGUGUGGACAACAUUUCUUUAGUUCUAGCAAGAAGGUAACCAGAGAUUUGGUGGCUACCAGCUCAAUUUUUACGGUUCUGACAGAAAAUGCAGUAGAAAUCCUUGUCUGUCCUCUGCCUGCCCAACCAGUGAAAGCUUUUUGCAAGCAGGCAGUGUGUCCCUGUGACCCCAGAUUGCCCACGGAUGGCCAGGGAUGUCACAGCUGUCACCGUGCUGCAGGGCACUUAGCAGGCAUGGCUAAAUGCUGCGUAGUCCUUCACAGCCUCUUUACGCCUGCUCCUCUCUCCUUUGGAGUUCAUGAGCAACAGGUCCUGGCAUGCUUACCUGCCCCGAGCAACAGCUUUUCUUUCUUCACAGGGAUUAUGUCCUCCCUAAGGAUCAAUUCUGCCCCUUGACUAGAGGCUUGCUCAUGCCUUAAACACACCUCUCCACUGUCUUCUAGAAUAUCUUGUAAAAUAUUUUUGCCAGAGAUUUUACUGGAGGCCUUUUAACAUCUCCCAGCAAUAGCUGAUCUAUGAUUUCCCAAGCUAUGGUGCUUGUGUUUAAUACGAUUAGGAAGGCAUUUGGAUCCAUUUUCUAGUACCACGAAGCACUGUGGUUGAGAUGCUGAGGUGUACCUGGGAACGGUUUGGAGCACUUGCAUUGGCUAACCCUGUAUUUUAAAAGGAUUUAGAGGAUAUUGCUGCAGAAGUGCUUGAAAGAGAUAACAGCAAUAAAGCUACUGUCAUUCACUCCUCCCUUUUCAUUAGUUUGAUACUUAAGCUAUUUCUACAGUCUAGUGGCAGGUCUAUGCAAUGCAAAGCUUUGGGGUUUGGAAGCACUGGAGUAAGCCAAAGCCAAUUCAAGGAUGAGUCUCUGAAUAUGCGGUAACCUGGCUUACUGCCUGCCGUGUCUACAACACUGCAGACAGAUGGACUUUCCCUGGGAGCUAGGGGCAUGAAAAGUGUAUUUUGUGGUCUGUGGGUACCUUACGUGCACAGCACACUCUAUCAAAAGAUGUGCUAUUAUCCCUAUUUAGGAAAGAGACAAUCAAAUUAGAGCAGUGUGGUCAGAAGACCCUUGGCUGCUAGUCCCUACCUUGCUUCUAGAGCAAUAAAUCUUAUCCAACUUCAGUGCUCAGCUCUGACUUCUCAAUGUCUGGUUUGGCUGCCUCCUACUUCUGACUUGCUAUCCUUAGCGUGCUUCACAGGCUUUCAGCUAUCUCACGCUUCUGGCUCUCUAAUCUUAGAGCAGCUUCUAACUUUAGGGUGACUUCAAGCUUCAGGGUCUCUCACUUUUGUUCUGGUUCUUUCUGGGACAUGGCCAAGUAGGUGAAAGGCUCUAGAAGGAUUUUCUGAGUUGCAGGCUGAAGCUAAACCCACCUUGGAAGCCAUCUUUUUUUUUUUUUUUUUUUUUUUGGCACUCUCCCUGGAUGUGCAAAGGAGUUUGGUCAGGAGAAGAUGUCUAUUCCUGCAUUCCUAAUACCUGAACUAGCUAGCAUUGCUUCUAUGCUAGCAAUGGUCCAAGUUCUCUCAGAAUUUUCCCAAGAUCAUGAAUGAAGCAUUUUCAUAAAAAUCCACGUAAGCAAAUUUCAUGCGUGUUCAGGAUCCGGUUCACCAUGACCGGCUCAGCUGAUUUCAUAAACCACAGGUUGCUCCUCUGCCUCGUGUCCUCCUGGUUCAUCUCUAUUUGUAUCGAAGGGUGACUAUAAAGUUUGUAUCAACUUUCCUCAGUAAAACAGUUCUUCAUCAAAUAAAACCUUCAUAGAUAGCAUUCUCUCCCACAUGUUUCAUGUGCAGACAUAGGCUCUGCUUGCUGGAAGAAAUCCUGAUUUUUCUGGUAUUUUCCAGUGCUCAAUUUUCAGAUCUGAGUAAAAAAGAACCCAUCCUCUACCUCCUUCUCACCAAACAUCAGCUUUGUCUUUUAAACACUCUGCUUUAGGAUGUGCUGUUAAAGAUAAGGCGUUACUCAAAUUAUGUUGCAAACAGGUACAAAUCCUACUGACUAUAUCAUGAUAGGGGAUGUACGGGAAUGGCAAGCACUGACUGGCUGGUUCAGGAUGGGCUUGUCCCUAAAGAGGGAACUGGGAUGAAGAGGAGGCUCCUUGAUACGAAGAGUCUGGAGUCCAGAGGAAGCUGAAGUCGCCAAAUGAGGAAGAAGGAUUUCCUUUGCUGAUCUUCCUAUUCUGAAGCAGGGUAGAAGCAGAGUUGUGCAUACUCUUUUCCUAGGCAAGAAAAGUCAACUGCAGUCAACCUUGGGAUCAGCCAGAGUGGCUACUUUUAUCUCUGAGCUUGAGCCGGUGGGAGUAGGGAAGGCCCAUCAAGAGCCACGGAUGGGCUGAAGUGCAGAGCGGUCCCAGCUGGCAAAGAAAUAAAUAAACCUGCAUGGGUCAGGCAGAAGAUCGUGGAAGUAAUGGUGGGGUCUGGCUGGUCAGAAGGAGCAAGGAAGAGCUCCUGGAUGACAGAAAAUACGGGACAGGGAAGCCCUGUGUCUCAUAAGCACGAGGAAACCGAGCUCAGGUUGCUCUAUUUCUUGCAUUUCCUCACAUGGCUCUGCAAACUCUAUAUUUUUCUCAGAUUGUAAAAAUAUAUAUGAAGACAUAUUGUCUGGAGACCAUCUCAUUUUUGAAUUCUUAAGAAUCUUUUGAGUGAUUCAAGGAGCACAGAAGGAAGUCAAGUAGCUUAGCUUAAUGAAUAAAAUAAAGCAGUUGAGAAAUACUGUCUCUCAAAUAACCAAAAGGACCUCAAGACAUCUUCAAGUCAUUAAAAAUGAAAUAAACGUCUUCUUGGCUUGCUUGUACUUACCUGAAUUGUGAUCCAUGAGAGGAGAUGAAUUUGGCAUGUCAUGGUUAGUGAAGAAAAAUGUGGAUACAGUAUGGAUUAUUCAAUUCAUUUUAUAUUUAUGGAAAUAUUAUGUGAGGUGCUUUGAAGCAUUCUAGCAAGCAUCUAUCUGUCAUAAUAUGCUAAUAAAACAAGGCAUAACCAGUUCAAUAAUGCUUCUGGACAUGAACCGUUGAUCACAGUUUGAAAAGAGUGACAAAUAUUUGGAAAUAACUGAAAUGAGGGUAAAAAUUAAAAUCUUUGUAAAGGUCACAUGUGGUCAGAUGCAUCACAGCUAUCAUUGACUAUGUGAAAAUUAGUUGUUUUAGUCUAAUAAAAUCCAAGUGGCCUCUCUAAUUAGUGGAGAGACAUUGGAAUUAGGAGAGAUGAUUUAUCCUGCCCGACCUUGGACAACUUUCAGAAAUAGAUAGGAUGGCCCCUCCUCCUCUUGAGGUACUCACCUAUUCCAUUUAUAGCAAGAGAAGCUGAGAAGAUUCAUUAGGUAAGACUAGAUGCCUAACUUCUACAUAACUAAAGUUAGAUGCAAUGAAUCCCAUCUGCAGAUGGGUGCAGUAAGUCAAAUACACUGUCAGCUGUAAUGAGUAGCAAUGAGAGUAGUCCUUGCCAUUACUGAAGGCCAAGUAAGGCUUCCUUUGAUUUUGGCAGAGCCAAGUUUCCUCUCCUUAGUUCUGGAAUACAGUUAUUUGCUACUUUUAUAAUUUCCACAGGCAUAUAUCCAUGUUCCAAUUACUGAGAUGACGCUUGCACCAGUAUGAUUCAUGCUGUCAAUUCCUGUCUCAAGUUAGAUUCGAGCUAAGUUUAUUUUGGGAGUAGUGGAUACAUACCUACCAUAUAGAGGUGCAGAAGAAAACAGUCUUUUUUGGCUGCAAAGACUGUAAAAGUUUGGGUUUCACAUCUCUAGAGAGCCAAAUUGGUGGUUGGACGUAAAGCAGAUGGACUUUGUACUCCGCUUUGAGUAGCCUGUGUAUACAUCCACAUUCUUUACGUAAACAGAAGCAUGGUUGCUGGAGGUUGCAACAUUAAUGAAAUAAAUACUGUAAGAGCUCUGUCCAAAGUUAA